AACAAAUCUCCAGGGAAAGAAAAACAGGCAAAAAGCAUUUUGUUAGGCAGUGCCAAAAACCCCAGCAGCCCUUGGAACGUAGCUUAUCAGCAGGAGUCCUGCAGUGGAUGAUUGCAUUUAGUAUGGAUGAUUUCAAUUAAUAUGCAAGUUAUGUCAAUAAACAGCAACAAAUCGAGGAAGAAUCAUGAGCAGGAACUAUGCUAAUCAGCUGCCAGCAACAAUGAGAAUAGGCAACGAAGAAAAGCAUAUGAAAAACAUAACAAAAAGCAGGCCAUCAUGAUUGGAAGAAGAAGGGGGAAAUCAAGACUGUGGAUUAUACUGUGACCUUGUAAUUUGCAGCUAAGGUGUGCCCAGGCGAACAGGUGCUUCAAAAAACAUUCUGCAAAGGUUGUGUGUCCUUUUUUUGUGUGAAGCUGACAGUGUUGUGCAUGAAAAAAGGCAGCCAAACAUGCCAAUGUUGUCAAAAAUAUGAUCAAAGAGAGAAAGGGAAGGAAGGUGUAGUGCAGUUUAAUCAAAGGAUGUUCAAUAACAUAGCAUUGCAAAGAUUUAAAAAAAAAAAAAAAAAUAGGCCACAUCUUUUCAUGUAUUGAAGCUAUGUUUUGUGAAAAAAAAAACAUGAAUAUAGAUGCAAAAGAAACAACCUUUUAUGGGGAUGGUGUUGCUGUGCGCCCCUUCUUUGCAGGGGCUGGCGAACCACCAUGGCGUCACGAUCCAGGCACAUCAUCUGAAAGUGAUGCAGUUGAUGCGAUGUCCUCAAGCUCAAGAUGUAACAUGGAAGCAGCAGAAGAUGAGGAGAAAGACAAAGUUGUGCGCCUAUAUUUUUUUGUUUCCAAGUUAAGAAAGUGAAGCCCCGAAACCAUGACGAAAAAACAUGGUUGGAGCAAUAAAACCAAAAGUGCUGUUAAUCAAAAACCAAAUUAUUUUUUUUCAUGUUAAUCACAAAUGUAGUCAGUGAAUGGCAAUUGACACACAGGUUGGUAAGUGAACAUAAAUUCAAAAAAACCAAGGGAAUGACUGAUAAAUUUGAAAAGAAUGCUCAUGGGAGUUUUGGCAAGAUCGCUGUGUAUCUGGGCUGACCUGUCUCAUUAUAGAAAUCAAGUCUCCUCCUUAUUCCAGUAAGAUUGGCACUGCGAGUUCCUGAUGAACAUUUGAGGCGGUUGCCUGGGAGGAAGCUGCAUUAAAACACUCCAAACCUCUCAUUCUUGGCUGAUUCUGUCGACCGAUCAUCUUGUCAUUUUUCUCCCUUCAACGUAGAAAAGGAUGGGUUAUAACCCUAAUUUAUCUUAAAGUUUUGAACCCAACCCGCCAUUGAUCAAACUUCUUGAAGCAAUUUUAUUAGACUAUGCAUGGUGGCUGGAUAAAUGCAUUAAUCAAGUAAACAGCCCGCAUGUACGAGGGAAAUCUGCCUGCUGGCACCUUUCCAAUGGCACCUGCAUUUCCCCUUCUCAAAUGCAAUUUUUUCAAUGAUUUCCGACACCAUUUUGAGUUGGAUAAAAAAGUGUAUUUUAGAAUACCUCUUUUUAAGCCAAACGACAUUGUAUAAGACCGUUU
rnacentral:lncRNA from 1 species